rnacentral:ncRNA from 1 species
CUCAUCAAGACCGGCUGAGGGAUUAGGCCCUUUGACGCCGGGGCAACCAUCGGGUUCCGCCCGAAACGGUGCCAACUCCUGCGGGGUUCUUC